GGGUUGUGAGGUUAAGCGACUAAGCGUACACGGUGGAUGCCCUGGCAGUCAGAGGCGAUGAAGGACGUGCUAAUCUGCGAAAAGCGUCGGUAAGGUGAUAUGAACCGUUACAGCCGGCGAUGUCCGAAUGGGGAAACCCAGUGCAAUUCGUUGCACUAUCGUUAACUGAAUACAUAGGUUAACGAGGCGAACCGGGGGAACUGAAACAUCUAAGUACCCCGAGGAAAAGAAAUCAACCGAGAUUCCCCAGUAGCGGCGAGCGAACGGGGAGCAGCCCAGAGUCUGAAUCAGCUUGUGUGUUAGUGGAACGGUCUGGAAAGUCCGACGGUACAGGGUGAUAGUCCCGUACACCAAAAUGCACAGGUUGUGAACUCGAAGAGUAGGGCGGGACACGUGGUAUCCUGUCUGAAUAUGGGGGGACCAUCCUCCAAGGCUAAAUACUCCUGACUGACCGAUAGUGAACCAGUACCGUGAGGGAAAGGCGAAAAGAACCCCGGCGAGGGGAGUGAAAAAGAACCUGAAACCGUGUACGUACAAGCAGUGGGAGCACCUUCGGGUGUGACUGCGUACCUUUUGUAUAAUGGGUCAGCGACUUAUAUUCUGUAGCAAGGUUAACCGUAUAGGGGAGCCGCAGGGAAACCGAGUCUUAACUGGGCGUUAAGUUGCAGGGUAUAGACCCGAAACCCGGUGAUCUAGCCAUGGGCAGGUUGAAGGUUGGGUAACACUAACUGGAGGACCGAACCGACUAAUGUUGAAAAAUUAGCGGAUGACUUGUGGCUGGGGGUGAAAGGCCAAUCAAACCGGGAGAUAGCUGGUUCUCCCCGAAAGCUAUUUAGGUAGCGCCUCGUGAACUCAUCUUCGGGGGUAGAGCACUGUUUCGGCUAGGGGGUCAUCCCGACUUACCAACCCGAUGCAAACUACGAAUACCGAAGAAUGUUAUCACGGGAGACACACGGCGGGUGCUAACGUCCGUCGUGAAGAGGGAAACAACCCAGACCGCCAGCUAAGGUCCCAAAGUCAUGGUUAAGUGGGAAACGAUGUGGGAAGGCACAGACAGCCAGGAUGUUGGCUUAGAAGCAGCCAUCAUUUAAAGAAAGCGUAAUAGCUCACUGGUCGAGUCGGCCUGCGCGGAAGAUGUAACGGGGCUAAACCAUGCACCGAAGCUGCGGCAGCGACACUAUGUGUUGUUGGGUAGGGGAGCGUUCUGUAAGCCUGCGAAGGUGUGCUGUGAGGCAUGCUGGAGGUAUCAGAAGUGCGAAUGCUGACAUAAGUAACGAUAAAGCGGGUGAAAAGCCCGCUCGCCGGAAGACCAAGGGUUCCUGUCCAACGUUAAUCGGGGCAGGGUGAGUCGACCCCUAAGGCGAGGCCGAAAGGCGUAGUCGAUGGGAAACAGGUUAAUAUUCCUGUACUUGGUGUUACUGCGAAGGGGGGACGGAGAAGGCUAUGUUAGCCGGGCGACGGUUGUCCCGGUUUAAGCAUGUAGGCUGGUUAUCCAGGCAAAUCCGGAUAAUCAAGGCUGAGGUGUGAUGACGAGGCACUACGGUGCUGAAGUAACAAAUGCCCUGCUUCCAGGAAAAGCCUCUAAGCAUCAGGUAACAUCAAAUCGUACCCCAAACCGACACAGGUGGUCAGGUAGAGAAUACCAAGGCGCUUGAGAGAACUCGGGUGAAGGAACUAGGCAAAAUGGUGCCGUAACUUCGGGAGAAGGCACGCUGGUGUGUAGGUGAAGUCCCUGCGGAUGGAGCUGAGACCAGUCGAAGAUACCAGCUGGCUGCAACUGUUUAUUAAAAACACAGCACUGUGCAAACACGAAAGUGGACGUAUACGGUGUGACGCCUGCCCGGUGCCGGAAGGUUAAUUGAUGGGGUUAUCCGUAAGGAGAAGCUCUUGAUCGAAGCCCCGGUAAACGGCGGCCGUAACUAUAACGGUCCUAAGGUAGCGAAAUUCCUUGUCGGGUAAGUUCCGACCUGCACGAAUGGCGUAAUGAUGGCCAGGCUGUCUCCACCCGAGACUCAGUGAAAUUGAACUCGCUGUGAAGAUGCAGUGUACCCGCGGCAAGACGGAAAGACCCCGUGAACCUUUACUAUAGCUUGACACUGAACAUUGAGCCUUGAUGUGUAGGAUAGGUGGGAGGCUUUGAAGCGUGGACGCCAGUCUGCGUGGAGCCAACCUUGAAAUACCACCCUUUAAUGUUUGAUGUUCUAACGUUGGCCCCUGACCGGGGUUGCGGACAGUGUCUGGUGGGUAGUUUGACUGGGGCGGUCUCCUCCCAAAGCGUAACGGAGGAGCACGAAGGUUAGCUAAUCCUGGUCGGACAUCAGGAGGUUAGUGCAAUGGCAUAAGCUAGCUUGACUGCGAGCGUGACGGCGCGAGCAGGUGCGAAAGCAGGUCAUAGUGAUCCGGUGGUUCUGAAUGGAAGGGCCAUCGCUCAACGGAUAAAAGGUACUCCGGGGAUAACAGGCUGAUACCGCCCAAGAGUUCAUAUCGACGGCGGUGUUUGGCACCUCGAUGUCGGCUCAUCACAUCCUGGGGCUGAAGUAGGUCCCAAGGGUAUGGCUGUUCGCCAUUUAAAGUGGUACGCGAGCUGGGUUUAGAACGUCGUGAGACAGUUCGGUCCCUAUCUGCCGUGGGCGCUGGAGAAUUGAGGGGGGCUGCUCCUAGUACGAGAGGACCGGAGUGGACGCAUCACUGGUGUUCGGGUUGUCAUGCCAAUGGCACUGCCCGGUAGCUAAAUGCGGAAGAGAUAAGUGCUGAAAGCAUCUAAGCACGAAACUUGCCCCGAGAUGAGUUCUCCCUGAGACUAUAAGUCUCCUGAAGGAACGUUAAAGACGAUGACGUUGAUAGGCCGGGUGUGUAAGCGCAGCGAUGCGUUGAGCUAACCGGUACUAAUGAACCGUGAGGCUUAACCUUACAACGCCGAAG
rnacentral:rRNA from 1 species